GACGUAGGGUGCGAGCGUUGUCCGGAAUUAUUGGGCGUAAAGAGCUCGUAGGCGGUUUGUCGCGUCUGGUGUGAAAACUCAGGGCUUAACCCUGAGCCUGCUUCCGAUACGGGCAGACUAGAGGUAUGCAGGGGAGAACGGAAUUCCUGGUGUAGCGGUGAAAUGCGCAGAUAUCAGGAGGAACACCGGUGGCGAAGGCGGUUCUCUGGGCAUUACCUGACGCUGAGGAGCGAAAGUGUGGGG
rnacentral:rRNA from 1 species